CAUGUCUUAGGACUAGAUAGUUAGUAGUGGGAUGAGUGAGAAUAAAGACACCAGAGCUGGGGAUUCCUGCCAUCUUGUUAGACACCACCACCUGUUUACAGUUAUGAAAGACUGGGUACAUAGUGAAAAUUAAUGUCCACAUAUGCCAUUCCUGUUGUGGCCAUCUAACAAGCUGUUAGAGCAUCUCAGAACACACAUCAAACCUUGAGGUGGAUGGGCUACAACAGCAGAAGACCACAUCAAAACCUGUUUCUCUGAGGCUAUUACAGGGAGAAAAUAAAGGAACACCCAUGAAUGAAGCUCCUGUACCUGUAUUCUUCAGCAUAAUGAGGUGUCUAUAAAGCUCUCCUGUACCUGUGUGUAUUACGUCAGACAUGUUCAAAAACCACCUGUAUCUGUGUGGGCUCUGAAGUGUGUUCCAAAAUCACCUGUACCACCCAUUUGUUCUCAGAAGUGUUUAAAGCUUGCCUGUACUUGUCCAUGUUCUGAGGUGUUUCUCAAAAAUCACCUGUAUCUUUCUGUUGGAAAUGUGUGUAUGAAGCACACUUGUACCUGUGUGUUUUCCUACAUUCUACUGAGUUCUCCAACAUUCUACAGUACUUAUUAAUCUCACCUGUACCUGUGUAUGUUUCCAUGUGUGUAUUUUCAGCCAAAAUUCUUCCACAGCAAAGUGAAAGACUGAUCUCCAGUUAUCAGAAACAUUUGGCUACAGUUGUUGCUGCUAAAGCUGGCACAACCAGUUAUUAAAUUUAGGUGCAAUUACUUUUUCACAUGGAUGAUGUACGUGCUGCAUAACCUUUUUCCGUCAGCAAAUUAAAUUAGAAUUUAAAAACUGGGUAUUCUGUUUCCUCAUAUUCUCCUUGUCUUACAUUACAUUUCGUAUGAUGAUCUGAUUUAUUGUAACAAAUAUUCAAAAAUAGAUCAAAUCAGAAGAAGGCAAAUACGUUUCCAUGGCACUGUGUAAUACCUGUUGUUUUAUAUUCACAAACUAAAAAAAUUGCAUCAACCUACAGAAUGAGCAGCAAAACACAGAUAAAGUGUGUUUCUAAGGCAUAAAGUUUGGCAUUAAAUUCAUCUUAAAUUCACAGUGAAGGUAAAAAAGAGCAGUAAUUUUGUGUGGCAAACUGUGCAUGAAAGUUUUUGUUAAAACACAAACCAACACCAUUCGUAAUCCAAGCACCACUUUUCCCCAUUACAUAAAUAAAGACAUUGUUAACCAGAGCACCUUGCAGAUUUUCAUUAGGCUAACACAGAUUA